UUUUUCCUACGGGACGCAGCAGUGAGGAAUAUUGGUCAAUGGGCUUACGCCUGAACCAGCCAAGUCGCGUGAGGGAAGACUGCCCUAUGGGUUGUAAACCUCUUUUGUCGGGGAGCAACGCCGGCUACGUGUAGCCGGACUGAGAGUACCUGAAGAAAAAGCAUCGGCUAACUCCGUGCCAGCAGCCGCGGUAAUACGGAGGAUGCGAGCGAUAUCCGGAUUUAUUGGGUUUAAAGGGUGCGUAGGCGGAAUGCCAAGUCAGCGGUAAAAUCGAGGGGCUCAACCUCGCUCCGCCGUUGAAACUG
rnacentral:rRNA from 1 species